UACGUAGGUGGCAAGCGUUGUUCGGAAUUAUUGGGCGUAAAGGGCGCGUAGGCGGUUUGUUAAGUCGGCUGUGAAAGCCCGGGGCUCAACCCCGGACUUGCGGUGGGUACGGGCAGACUAGAGUGUGGUAGGGGAGACGUGGAAUUCCUGGUGUAGCGGUGAAAUGCACAGAUAUCAGGAGGAACACCGAUGGCGAAGGCAGGUCUCUGGGCCACUACGUGACGCUGAGAAGCGAAAGCGUGGGGAGCGAAACAGGAUU
rnacentral:rRNA from 1 species